AUUUACCGAGCGGGGGGAUAUUCCCUGGGGGUAGCCGAGUUGGAGAAUAUAUAUAUAUAUAUUUUAUUUUUUUCCCCUUCACUGUGUUACGAGCUGUGUGAAAUUUGCCAUUCACUUUGUUACCCACAAAAUCCCAGAUUGGUCAAUAACCAGCUGCUGUCCGCUUUGAGUGGGUUUCUUCACUCACUGAAUUGUGAUGAAUUCAAUUUCCAGCGUUAAUAUUAAGCUGUGAUAAAGUUGGACAAAGAGCUGAAUUUGAGUUUUUUUUGCCAUUCUGUCUUCGUUGCUGCAGUUUGGUCUCCAAUUCAUUACUUGGUGAAUAAAGCCCAGACCUUACUGGUUUACAAAACUAAUUUUAGCAAAUUCAGCCCUUAAAAGGCAGGCGGACCGAGCAGUUAUUCCAGUUGAG